UAAAUUAAAUAAUUAAAUAGAUGAUUUUUACAUACUGUAGAGCUAUAGAGAAAAUAUAGCUGGAUGGGUGAUAGUGACUUGGGGAUGGGGGUGGCUACUCUGGAUAGGGUAGUUUAAGGUGACAUCUCUGUGCAGAUGUAGAAUGGGCUAGUGCUUUCUAAGAACUGAAAGAUCAGUGAAGAAGGGGAGCAUAGUGACUGAGGAGUAGUGUGGCAUUAGAUGGGGUCUGAGAGUUACACAGGAACAUGUGGAGCCUGUAGGCCAUGGUAAAGCCUUUUUCUACUCUUCUGGUGAUUUAAAGCCAUUGUAAAGUUUUGAGCUUGGGAGUAGGUAGCAAAAUAAGAUUUAUAUUUUUAUGGGGUUACUCUGGCUGUUGAGAGGAGAAAAAGACAUGAAUCUGGGAGGCCACUUGGGAAGCAAGGCCAUCAGUGAAGAGAAAGAGUGGGAGAAAAAGGUUUGAGGAGAGAAGGUAUAGGACUUUCACUAACCUUGGACCAUAUAUUUGCCAGGAAGAAUGUAAGUUCUCCAACAUCUUCAAAUAAAGAAGUGGUUAUGAGGAAUGAUCAGAAUAAUGGAGAUAUGAAACCAUUCCAGAAUUUCACAACAAUACCAAUCACACAGGCUCUCAACUACAAUCUGAGCAAAGAAGGGCAUUUAGAAAAAGAACCUUGGAAUGCAUUCAGCCAUCAUGGCCCAGUUAAUGUCUCCAUCAAUGGAAUUCCUUGCAUUCUCUUCUGGGCCAAAAGAAUAAUGAUUAAAUUUAAGAAUCAAACCUGGCUGGACCUUACAGACGAGCCAUUUGGUCAGAAGGUAACUGUGGACCCUGACAACUCAAAUUGCAGUGAAGAAAGUGCUAGAAAAAAAAAGUAGGCUCCUUUGUAUAGGACCCUGACACACAUCUUUGAGGAAGUAUUUACUGUCUAAAAUAAAGGAACAAGUCAGAAGUUAACUUCAAAAAUUGUUGGCUGGGCAUGGUGGCUCACGCCUGUAAUCCCAGCACUUCGGGAGGCCAAGGGAGUGGAUCACCUGAGGUCAGGAGUUGGAGACAAGCCUGGCCAACAUGGUGAAACCUCGUCUCUACUAAAAUACAAAAAUUAGCCGGGCGUGGUGGCAGGUGCCUGUAAUCCCAGCUACUCAGGAGGCUGAGACAGGAGAAUUGCUUGAACCUGGGAGGUGGAGGUUGUGGUGAGCUGAGAUCGCGCCAUUGCUCUCCAGCUUGGGUGACAGAGUGAGUGAGACUCCAUCUCAAAAAAAAAAAAUUGUUAUAUUUUCCCGGCAGUUUUCUUCUGAACCUUUUUGCUAAUUGUCGGAAUAACUUGUAGAAAAUGAGACUUUGGAAAGCAAGGGUUCUCAAACUCGUUUUGAAAACAGCAAAGGAUUCCAGGCUUGGUCUCAACUCCAAAUGGUUGUCUUUGAAGCUUGGUGAUGCUGGAAACCCCAGAAGUCUUGCUAUAAGAUUCAUCCUUACCAAUUACAACAAGUUGUCCAUCCAGAGUUGGUUUAGUUUGCGCCGAGUCGAGAUCAUUUCCAACAAUUCAAUCCAAGCAGUCUUUAACCCAACUGGCGUAUAUGCUCCCUCUGGUUACUCCUACCGCUGCCAACGCGUGGGCAGCCUGCAGCAGGACCAGGCCCUCUUGCUGCCCAGCGACACGGAUGAUGGGUCGAGCCUGUGGGAGGUCACUUUUAUUGAUUUCCAGAUCCAAGGUUUUGCCAUCAAGGGGGGACGAUUUACCAAAGCCCAAGACUGCGCCUCCUCCUUCUCGCCAGCUUUUCUGAUCGGCCUGGCAAUGUCCCUGAUCCUGCUGCUGGUGUUGGCCUAUGCCCUGCACAUGCUCAUCUACCUGCGGUAUCUGGACCAACAAUAUGAUCUCAUCGCCUCUCCUGCCCACUUCUCGCAGCUGAAAGCUCGAGACACAGCCGAAGAGAAGGAGCUGCUGAGGAGCCAGGGGGCUGAAUGCUAUAAACUGAGAAGCCAACAGAUCAGCAAAAUCUAUGUUUAGCAGCACAGGCUGGCCCCCACCAUGUCCACAGUGGGCUCCGAAAGUUGUCUCUGUUCUGUGCUAUUUGACUUGUGAAUUACAGAUUUUCACCAAAUGGCUUGAUUACAAAAAAAAAGAAAAAACACAAAAAGGAAAUAGAUAAUGAAUUCUUUUUGAACCAUCCACUGGCCUACUUAGGUAGACUUGGGGCAAUCAAAAAAGGCAUCUCAGGGAUCCCACAGAGACAAAUAUGACUGUUAGUUGCCUCAAAGUACCCUGAAAGCAAAGGGGUAUUUCAAGUACGGAAAAAGAGAGAGAGAGAAGAAGAAGGAGGAGGAGGAGGAGGAGGAGAAGGAGAAGGAGGAGCAGGAGGAAGAGGAGGAGGAGGAGGAAAGGGAGGGAGGGAGGGAGAGGGAGAGAGAGAGAAAGAUUGGCAACACAGAGAAGGGAAAACACACUUGGUCCUCCUUGCCUGUGCCAGUUUGGAUGUGACAAUUAUAGAAAUAAUAAACCAAGAUUAUCUG
ensembl:lncRNA novel transcript